AACUCUCAACAACGGAUAUCUUGGCUCUCAGAUCGAUGAAGAAUGCAGCGAAAUGCGAUACGUAGUG
rnacentral:rRNA from 1 species